rnacentral:rRNA from 1 species
GACGAACCGUGCGAACGUUGUUCGGAAUCACUGGGCUUAAAGGGCGCGUAGGCGGGUUCUCAAGUCUGUGGUGAAAUCCUCCAGCUUAACUGGAGAAGUGCCGUGGAUACUGGGGACCUCGAGGUGGGUAGGGGCAUCUGGAAUUCCUGGUGUAGCGGUGAAAUGCGCAGAUAUCAGGAGGAACACCGGUGGCGAAGGCGGUUCUCUGGGCCUUACCUGACGCUGAGGAGCGAAAGCGUGGGGAGCAAACAGG